rnacentral:rRNA from 1 species
CCUACGGGAGGCAGCAGUGAGGAAUAUUGGUCAAUGGUCGGGAGACUGAACCAGCCAAGCCGCGUGAGGGAUGAAGGUACAGAGUAUCGUAAACCUCUUUUGUCAGGGAACAAAGGCGGGGACGUGUCCCCGGAUGAGUGUACCUGAAGAAAAAGCAUCGGCUAACUCCGUGCCAGCAGCCGCGGUAAUACGGAGGAUGCGAGCGUUAUCCGGAUUGAUUGGGUUUAAGGGGUGCGCAGGCGGUCUGUUAAGUCAGCGGUCAAAGCCCGGGGCUCAACCCCGGCCCGCCGUUGAAACUGGCAGUCUCGAGUUGGAGAGAAGUAUGCGGAAUGCGCGGUGUAGCGGUGAAAUGCAUAGAUAUCGCGCAGAACUCCGAUUGCGAAGGCAGCAUGCCGGCUCCACACUGACGCUGAGGCACGAAAGCGUGGGUAUCGAACAGGAUUAGAUACCCGUGUAGUC